rnacentral:rRNA from 1 species
AUGAACGCUGGCGGCGUGCCUAAUACAUGCAAGUCGAGCGAACAGAUAAGGAGCUUGCUCCCUUGACGUUAGCGGCGGACGGGUGAGUAACACGUGGGUAACCUACCUAUAAGACUGGAAUAACUCCGGGAAACCGGGGCUAAUGCCGGAUAACAUUUAGAACCGCAUGGUUCUAAAGUGAAAGAUGGUUUUGCUAUCACUUAUAGAUGGACCCGCGCCGUAUUAGCUAGUUGGUAAGGUAACGGCUUACCAAGGCAACGAUACGUAGCCGACCUGAGAGGGUGAUCGGCCACACUGGAACUGAGACACGGUCCAGACUCCUACGGGAGGCAGCAGUAGGGAAUCUUCCGCAAUGGGCGAAAGCCUGACGGAGCAACGCCGCGUGAGUGAUGAAGGUCUUCGGAUCGUAAAACUCUGUUAUUAGGGAAGAACAAAUGUGUAAGUAACUGUGCACGUCUUGACGGUACCUAAUCAGAAAGCCACGGCUAACUACGUG